rnacentral:rRNA from 1 species
GACGUAGGGCGCGAGCGUUGUCCGGAUUUAUUGGGCGUAAAGAGCUCGUAGGCGGCUUGUCGCGUCGUUCGUGAAAACCUGCAGCUCAACUGCAGGCUUGCGGUCGAUACGGGCAGGCUGGAGUUCGGUAGGGGAGAUUGGAAUUCCUGGUGUAGCGGUGAAAUGCGCAGAUAUCAGGAGGAACACCGAUGGCGAAGGCAGACCCCUGGC